GGAACCAAUUUUUUGUAGCAGUCAUUUAUGCCUAUUGUAAGCUGUUUUCACUAAGAUCUAUCUCGUCACAACAGCAUUCAUUGGGCAUUCCACAGAAGAUGACCCAUGCAAAUCCAGAGACCGUUCUCCCUGCCAUCCAUCAAAUGCUUAUUAUCGAGAUAGAUUAAUUGGGCUUUACUCCUAUUCCAUAGUUUUCCAACUAACUUAAUUUUCGAUAAUCCUGCCAUACUACAUCUGUUCAUAGAUCCAGUUUGCUUGAGUUUGUUAUGCCUGCUACAUUAUUGAGAGAUUAUUGUUGGAAUCUGAAGUUCUGUAUUUGUAUUCGCAGAUGACGUGGAGGAAUGUGGCUGUCAUCCCCAGUUCUUUAAUAAAGGGCCAGCUCCAGUCAUGCAUCACUUCAGUGCUAAAGAGUAAACAUGUAAUACUGCUUUUCAAGAGACAUUUGUAUAUUGUGAUUCCAUCGACUAAUGAAAACUUUGCUUUGACGUGGAGUUGGCGUACAUCUCUUAAGUGAAGAUUGGCAGCAUACUUUUUGGGUUCAAAAGUUAAAUUAUUCCUAGUUCUUACUUUUGUUGUUUUACUUCAUUCUUAUGGUUGUAAUUAUCCUUUGUACGGAAGUAUUAAUAACAUCAAGUUUAUUCGAUUCUGAAUAACCACAAAGAUGGUGGAAAGAACUCUAUAAUGAUGGUUUUUGAAUGACUUUUGCCUGGAUUUAGCUACUAAUAUACAUGGUAAUUAUUAGGUGUUGUUGUAUAAUUGUCUGAUAAUGUACAUGGUGUUGUAUAAUGGUGGAAAGAAUUCUAUAAU